GUUAGGUCAUGGCUUGAACUGAUGAUUGAGCAACUGGUGAAAGGCUGUGUCUGGCCCAGGGAACAUAGGCAAAUUGUUUGCACCUGUGCUCCCUAGGUGACCAGAAGGUGUGGAGGGUGGAGCCACCCUGUGCUCAUAUAAGGACCAACUAUUGAAAAGAAGGUCCCUUUUGCACCUAGGCUGCUUCCUGAGCAGGAGUGUUGUAUAGCUAUAGAACCCCUUCAUCAGCUGGGGGGCUCUGCUGGCUCUUAAAUUCAGCUCUCCCAGUGGCCUGAUAUGAACAGCUAAAUGCACACCCCCCUCCUGAAAACACAGAUGCGGAGGAAAACAGACACGGUUCUGCUGAUCUGCAAGCACAGAAAAAUACUGUUGAGGGGUGUUGAGAUUUUCACCACUUACCAGAGCUGCAAAUGCAACGUGCUUGACUGUCCAAUUGAAUAGUUAAAAAAAAAAAAGGAAGGACUAACUUGCAAGUACAGACAAUCUCCAUUAUAAUGUGUGCUAGCUAAGCUUGUUCUUAAACGUUCUGGUAGUUCUAUUUCAGUUAAAAUUGGAUGGUUUCAUUUUCUGGAGGCAAAAAUGCAAAUGCCACCUGUGGUUUGACUGCUUAUGCACUGCAUUGUUUGUAAUAGGACUUGAUGAUUACUUAAUAUAAGCUGCAGUAUGUUUUUAGCUUUCAGCAUCUCACAUAUUUAUGAUGAC
ensembl:lncRNA